rfam:Pseudoalteromonas atlantica T6c, complete genome.
UUGACUGCGAGGUCUGGUCUGGAGGAAGCCGGACGCAAAGCUGCGAACUGAUGAACAAGAACUUCAUAUAAGGCAUAGGCUAAAGUUGAGUUGGCACAAUGUGACGAAACCAUGUGUUCUAACGGUCACCGCAAAUGAUGCAUCAGUGCAGUGAAAGUUCAUGCU